AUGCCCACUUCAGCAGCACAUAUACUAAAACUGGAACGAUACAGAGAUUAGCAUGGCCCCUGUGCAAGGGUGACACACAAAUUCAUGAAGCAUUCUAUAUUUUU
ensembl:snRNA U6 U6 spliceosomal RNA